AUGAGAGUCCAACAUACGUUAGACCCAGCAGCUCACCAGACAAAAAGAAAGAAAGAACAACCUCUAAACUCAAGGAGUACAAAGCGGACAAGGACUGCAGAGGGAAGAAGAAAUGCAAACACAGAGGCUCCUAAACGAUUGAGAAAGGCUAAUGCUGAAGAAGAUAGGGAAUUGAAGCGUGCCAGAAGCGAAACCAACAAAAACAACACUAGAGACAAUGUUGGAGACAACAACAGAACCAGAACCUCGACAAGUGCUAAUAGAAAGCCAUGGAACUUCGGAAGGCCAACAUACAAAUGCCAAUAUUGCAAAGCAUUGCUAUGGUGUGAAGAAAGAUUAAAUUCAAACAAAGGAACUACGACACCCUCUUUUGGAAUAUGCUGCAAACAAGGGAAAAUCGAUCUGCCGCCACUAAGAGGACCUCCACCAUACCUUAGAAACCUCUUAAGAAGUGAAGGGCAGGAUUCGGUAAACUUCAAAGAAAAUAUAAGGUCAUACAACUCAAUGUUUUCAUUCACAUCGAUAGGAGGAGCUGUGGACAAGGAAAUAAACACUCGCAAAGGACCUUAUGUUUUUCGUUUGCAUGGACAAAACUACCACCAUAUCGGAACUCUUUUGCCUCAAGGUAUAGACAAACCUCGGUUUGCACAGCUAUACAUAUAUAAUACCGAAAAUGAGGUGGAAAACAAGAUAAGUGCAUCAAGACGCAAUGAUAAUAAAUCAACAGUGGACCCCAACAUCGUCAAAGAACUGAAAAUAAUGCUCGACGACAACAACAUCCUCGCAAAAACAUUCAGAAUGGCAAGAGAUAGAUUCCAAGAAGGAGACUACCAUGAUUACACACUUCGGAUACUAGGCAAAAGGAACGGAACACACAACCUUCCAUCCGCAUCUGAAGUUGCAGCAUUGGUAGUAAGAGAUCCAACCGGAGAGAGUGAAGGACGUGACAUUGUUGUUGAGUACAAAAAUAUGGAGCCACAAAGGAUAUCAGAGAUCCACCCGAAAUUCAUGUCCAUGCAAUAUCCGUUGUUGUUCCCAUAUGGAGAAGACGGUUUUAAACUUGAGAUACCCUACAAGAAAACAAAAGGAGGUACAAACAGCAGGAAAUACGUAAUGUUGUUGGACUACUAUGCAUUCUACCUACAACAACGUCCUGAUCAAGGAAUGUUACUGCUCAAGUCCGGGCAUUUGUCACUGCAAUUUUGGGUGGAUGUAUACACAUGUAUCGAGCAAAAUAGACUAAACUGGAUCCGACACAAUCAAGGAAAGCUACGAACUGAACUUUACAGUGGAUUGCAGGAUGCGAUUGAGCGAGGGGACACAAGAAUAGAGCAAGUUGGAAAGAGGAUAAUUGUGCCUUCAUCUUUUACAGGUGGUAGAAGAAACAAGGCACAAUAUUUGCAAGAUGCCUUUGCAAUAUGCCGUUGGGCUGGAUACCCAGACCUAUUUAUAACAUUCACAUGCAACGCAAAGUGGCCUGAGAUCCAAUACAUGCUAGAUGAAGCGGGAGGUGGCCAAAAGCCAGCCGAUCGGCCAGAUAUUGUGGACAGAGUAUUUAUGAUCAAACUAAAGGAGCUAAUGAGAGACAUAAAAGAAAAGAAAUACUUUGGAGAAACAGUUGCAAGUAAGUCCCAUUGA
rnacentral:rRNA from 1 species